GCACGCGCGCUGGUCGGGCACGGCGGUCGCCGCGCGGGCUGAGUUGGCAGGGAGUAAACCUGAUCCACGGGGCUACCGGAAUGUAGCAGGCUGUAUUGAGGGACUUCCAAACCCGAGUUGAGAAGGAAGGCACAAGUGCCUCCCAGUGCUGGGGUGUCAUGGAAGGGCUGCUGACAAGAUGCCGAGCGCUGGCCACCUGCAGGCGCCAGCUCUCAGGGUCCGCUCCUCACAGGUUUCAGCACGGCACCCCAGGGAGAGGGAAGCGCUUGCUGCUGUCCCGCAUGUUCCAGCCCCAGAACCUUCGGGAAGACCAGGUGCUCUCUCUCGAGGGCAGACCUGGCGACCUGACCUGUAAGAGCCAGCGGCUGAUGCUGCAGGUGGGCCUGAUCCACCCGGCCAGCCCUGGCUGUUACCACCUCCUGCCUUACACCGUCCGCGCCAUGGAGAAGCUCAUGCGGGUGAUAGACCAGGAGAUGCAGGCCAUCGGGGGCCAGAAGGUCAACAUGCCCAGCCUCAGCCCAGCAGAGCUGUGGCGAGCCACCAGCCGGUGGGACUCAAUGGGCAAGGAGCUGCUCAGACUUAGAGACAGGCACGGCAAGGAGUACUGCUUGGGCCCAACUCACGAGGAAGCCGUCACAGCCCUGGUCGCCUCCCAGAAGACCCUGUCUUACAAGCAGCUCCCCGUCCUGCUGUACCAGGUGACGCGGAAGUUUCGGGAUGAGCCCAGGCCCCGCUUUGGUCUCCUCCGAGGCCGAGAGUUUUACAUGAAGGACAUGUACACCUUCGACUCCUCCCCCGAGGCCGCCCGGCGGACCUACAGCCUGGUGUGCGAUGCUUACGGCAGCCUCUUCGACAGGCUGGGGCUGCGGUGCCUGCAGGUCCAGGCAGAUGUGGGCAGCAUCGGGGGCACGAUGUCUCAUGAGUUCCAGCUGCCGGUGGACGUUGGGGAGGACCGGCUUGCGCUCUGUCCCCGCUGCAGCUUCUCGGCCAAUGUGGAGACCCUGGACUUGGCACAGACGAACUGCCCUGCUUGCCAGGGACCACUGACCGAAACCAAAGGCAUCGAGGUGGGGCACACGUUUUACCUGGGCACCAAGUACUCCUCCAUCUUCAAUGCCCAGUUCACCAAUGUCCACGGCAAAGCAUCCCUGGCUGAAAUGGGGUGCUAUGGCUUGGGGGUGACCCGGAUCUUGGCCGCUGCCAUUGAAGUCCUCUCUGCAGAAGACUGCAUCCGCUGGCCCGGCCUCCUGGCCCCUUACCAAGUCUGCGUCAUCCCCCCUAAGAAGGGCAGCAAGGAGGAGGCAGCCGCAGAGCUCACAGGGCACCUGUACGACCACAUCACCGAGGCGGCGCCACAGCUCCGUGGGGAGGUCCUGCUGGACGACAGGACCCAUCUGACCAUUGGGAACAGACUGAAAGAUGCCGACAAGCUCGGCUACCCCUUCGUGAUCAUCGCGGGCAAGAGGGCCCUGGACGAGCCUGCACAUUUUGAGAUUCGGUGCCAGAACACAGGCGAGGUGGUCUUCCUCACCAGAGAGGGAGUCCUGGAAUUACUGAGCCAAGUGCAGGUGGCGUAAACACGCCCCCCUCACAUCUCACCGCCUCAGUGUCCAUCCUAACGCUGCCUUACCCGCAGGAGCUGGUCUCCCCAGAAACAGGGCAGCUCGUGGAAGGAGAGGUUCCCAUGCAUCGGAUGCCGUGGCUGAGGAGCGAGGCCCCUGGAGCUCCGACAGUCUGACCACGGGCCUCUUGCAGCUUUCAGUCCAGAGAGGCGGCCUGCCAGCCCUCCGUUGAGAAGAUGGGCUGAGAGUCUGGGUAGAAGAAUCAGGACACCUGGCCGCCCCUGACUCACUGAUGACUUGGACACGACCCCUCCCCUGCCGGGGCCCCAGUUUCCCCAUCUGUGCCAUGAGAAAAUGGAACUGGAUUUGUUAGUUCCUCGGGGCUGUGACUGGCAGAUCUGGUUCCUCUGGUCCUCCAUCAUUUAAGCUACCCAGAAAGUUAAUACAGUUAGCUAAUGGCCCCCAAACCAACUCCAGAGACCCGGCCCUGUUGAGGCGGUUUAGCCCGAAGAUGGUAUUGUAUUGGUUGAAUAAAGUCCAGCUGUUGGGAUGA